GAGUUUCACUCCCAAACCCCAAUGUGAACGUUACCAAUCUGUUGCCUCGGCGGGAUUCUCUUGCCCCGGGCGCGUCGCAGCCCCGGAUCCCAUGGCGCCCGCCGGAGGACCAACUCCAAACUCUUUUUUUCUCUCCGUCGCGGCUCCCGUCGCGGCUCUGUUUUAUUUUUGCUCUGAGCCUUUCUCGGCGACCCUAGCGGGCGUCUCGAAAAUGAAUCAAAACUUUCAACAACGGAUCUCUUGGUUCUGGCAUCGAUGAAGAACGCAGCGAAAUGCGAUAAGUAAUGUGAAUUGCAGAAUUCAGUGAAUCAUCGAAUCUUUGAACGCACAUUGCGCCCGCCAGUAUUCUGGCGGGCAUGCCUGUCCGAGCGUCAUUUCAACCCUCGAACCCCUCCGGGGGGUCGGCGUUGGGGAUCGGCCCCUCACCGGGCCGCCCCCGAAAUACAGUGGCGGUCUCGCCGCAGCCUCUCCUGCGCAGUAGUUUGCACACUCGCACCGGGAGCGCGGCGCGGCCACAGCCGUAAAACACCCCAAACUUCUGAAAUGUUGACCUCGGAUCAGGUAGGAAUACCCGCUGAACUUAA
rnacentral:rRNA from 1 species